UUUAUGAGCAGAUAAGACAGAUUGCCUUUAAAUAGAGUUACGAGUGAAUAAACCAAUGAUGGAGUUAGAGUAAUGAGAUUUGAGAAAUGAGUUGAGAUAGAGAUGUUGAUUGAAUUGAGUUGAGAUUUUAUUUUAUCUCCGAUUACCGGGAAUAGAAUUACCGGAUGCCGAGUUAUCAGAGAUUGAUUGUCCUAUUAAGAAAAUAGGAAUAAUGAGUUUGACAUAGAGUCGAGAAAGAAAGAGUGAGAACCCUGAUGAAAAGAG
rnacentral:lncRNA from 1 species